rnacentral:rRNA from 1 species
UAAGGAAUAUUGGUCAAUGGACGGAAGUCUGAACCAGCCAUGCCGCGUGCAGGAAGACGGCCCUACGGGUUGUAAACUGCUUUUGCAGGGGAAUAAACCCCGGUUCGUGAACCGGGUUGAAUGUACCUUGAGAAUAAGGAUCGGCUAACUCCGUGCCAGCAGCCGCGGUAAUACGGAGGAUCCAAGCGUUAUCCGGAUUUAUUGGGUUUAAAGGGUGCGUAGGCGGCUUUUUAAGUCAGGGGUGAAAGACGGUAGCUCAACUAUCGCAGUGCCCUUGAUACUGAAGAGCUUGAAUGUACUUGAGGUAGGCGGAAUGUGACAAGUAGCGGUGAAAUGCAUAGAUAUGUCACAGAACACCAAUUGCGAAGGCAGCUUACUAAAGUAUGAUUGACGCUGAGGCACGAAAGCGUGGGGAUCAAACA